rnacentral:lncRNA from 1 species
ACUGGUCGUUAGUACAGGUGGCCGGUGUUUGCAGGGGGUCGGUAACACAGGUUUUACUGUAGUUUAAAUCGAAAAGAUUAAAUUUUAAUUCAAAAUUGUAUAUACAAUUAUUACAAUUAUAAACUAUAUAUAGUUUAAUAUCCAAAACAUGUUUUUGAUUUUAUGUAAUGUAAUGAAAAUCUUAUUUGUAAAUUAUUGGUUACAAUGUUUAACAAUAGGAAAUAUUCAAGAAUAAAUAAAAUAAAAGUUUAAUCCUAACAACACAAAACAUUCCAGGAAUGUAGGUACUACCGUUCUAUUCCGUGAACAUCUAUCUGAUUAAAUUAUGGGUGGAAAGUUACCACAAGAUAUUCUAUGAACAUAGUACAAUGUCUUCCUGGAGGGGUAAAAUUUUCCAUUACAAGAUUUUAAGAGAGGCCAUUUACUAUUCAAUUUGCGUUCAUUUUCAAAUUUGCCGCGCGAGUAUCUAUGUAGCGUCGCGUGGUCAUUGGUCAUCAAGGUCAUCACAUUUCAUAUAUUUUUUUCAUUUUCAUGGAUAACCGAUAACCUAAAAAUUUAGUAAAAAUUUUGAUUGGAAAAAAAUGCAUCGAUAACUGUCGAUAAGGGGGUGUGGGAAAUAGAAAUUAGUGGCUUUUUUGCUGUACUGUCUACUAGUUUUUGCUCUGGGCUCUGGCUGGAUCUCUUGUUUAAACAAUUUUAAUCAGCUGAAAGUGGUCUACAAAAAAAACCAAGAAGGAAAUGUAUAGCCUUGUGGCUAUGAAAGGCAAAAGAGAGAUAUAAAAAGUGUAUUG